UCCCUGGUGGCUCAGCCAGUAAAGGAUCUGCCUGCAAUUCAGGAAGCCCAGGUUCAAUUCCUGAGUCGGGGAG
rnacentral:tRNA from 1 species